GACGAACGCUGGCGGCGUGCUUAACACAUGCAAGUCGAACGUGAUUUUUGUAGAAAUUCUUUCGGGAAUGGAAAUGAAAUGAAAGUGGCGAACGGGUGAGUAACACGUGAGCAACCUACCUCACACAGGGGGAUAGCCGUUGGAAACGACGAUUAAUACCGCAUGAGACCACAGAAUCGCAUGAUAUAGGGGUCAAAGAUUUAUCGGUGUAAGAAGGGCUCGCGUCUGAUUAGCUAGUUGGAAGGGUAAAGGCCUACCAAGGCGACGAUCAGUAGCCGGUCUGAGAGGAUGAACGGCCACAUUGGAACUGAGACACGGUCCAAACUCCUACGGGAGGCAGCAGUGGGGAAUAUUGCACAAUGGGGGGAACCCUGAUGCAGCGACGCCGCGUGAGCGAAGAAGGUUUUCGAAUCGUAAAGCUCUGUCCUAUGAGAAGAUAAUGACGGUAUCAUAGGAGGAAGCCCCGGCUAAAUACGUGCCAGCAGCCGCGGUAAUACGUAUGGGGCGAGCGUUGUCCGGAAUUAUUGGGCGUAAAGGGUACGUAGGCGGUUUUUUAAGUCAGGUGUGAAAGCGUGAGGCUUAACCUCAUUAAGCACUUGAAACUGGAAGACUUGAGUGAAGGAGAGGAAAGUGGAAUUCCUAGUGUAGCGGUGAAAUGCGUAGAUAUUAGGAGGAAUACCGGUGGCGAAGGCGACUUUCUGGACUUUUACUGACGCUCAGGUACGAAAGCGUGGGGAGCAAACAGG
rnacentral:rRNA from 1 species